rnacentral:rRNA from 1 species
CAGUAGCCGCGGUAAUACCGAGGGUGCAAGCGUUAAUCGGAAUUACUGGGCGUAAAGCGCGCGUAGGUGGUUUGUUAAGUUGGAUGUGAAAUCCCUGAGCUUAACUUAGGAAUUGCAUUCGAUACUGGGAAGCUAGAGUAUGGGAGAGGAUGGUAGAAUUCCAGGUGUAGCGGUGAAAUGCGUAGAGAUCUGGAGGAAUACCGAUGGCGAAGGCAGCCAUCUGGCCUAAUACUGACGCUGAGGUACGAAAGCAUGGGGAGCAAACAGGAUUAGAUACCCGUGUAGUCCCUGUCUCUUAUAC